CUGACCCAGGAAACUGGAAAAUGCUUCAUGGAACAGGUGGCAAAAGGGUCCAGUAAUUAGUCUAUCGAGGAAAUAAUUUUUUCAAUCCAUGUGCCUGCUGCCAUAGUUUCUUGGAUCCUUUUUGCUGGCAAUGUAAGAGUUUUAAGGCUCCUUUCAGGCCCAAGUAAAUCUUUAAACACCUUCGAGUUUUAAGACAUUUCACUUCUGGCCCAUCAAUAGUAAAUUUACAACCUACAGGUCAGAACCAAAAGCUUUUCAAACUGUAAUUGACAAAUACCAGGGAGCAUCUCACUUCAUCAUGGAAAUUUUAAAACUUCAAAAUGAACCUGGAGAACAUGGGGUGCAUUGCCUUCAGUCAGGAUUACUUCGACUCUUUCUCCCAAACUCCACUGGGAGUUAAAAACAAAUUUCAGAGGGUCAAAAUAAUCCUAAAAGCCUCUUACAAUAGCAUGCAGGAAGCAAUACUGAGUUCUCACGGUCUCAAUAUGACACAAAUUUAUACCAUGUGUCAAAACCCUAGAACUAAUUUUGCAGAACACUAAAUCUGGUGAAACUACAGCUUGCAGUGUAAGAUCCAUUCAUUAUUUCCUUUACUGUAACUGUAUCCAGCAGUGACUUUAACUUUCUUUCCUGUUUAUUAAAUUUUUGGAAUUAGUGAGAAAAACAUAUAUUGUUUUGUAAUGCUUGGUAAUUGAAAGCAUAGCUAAUAUUACUGUUACUUUUAUGUCAUUACAUAUUUGUGUAGAAGCAGACAAAUCUAUGAUUUUUAUUAAUUUUUUUUAGCUUAACAGAAAUGUAUUUGCUCAAAGUUCUGGAGGCUAGAAGUCCCAGAGGCCUCUAUUUCUGGCUUGCGCACAGCCACUUCCUUACCAUGUCCUUCCACUGGGAGUGGGGAGAGGCAGCACACAAGCUCUCUGUUCUCUUAUGAGGACACAAAUCCUGUUGGAUCAGGGUCCAUCCUUAAUACACCACUUAAUCACCUCUUUAUAGACCGCGUCCCCAAAUACAGUUACAAUAGGGAUUAGAGCUUUGUCUAAUACUGGGGGGAUGCAAUUCAGUCCAUUAGCACUCCCCUUCCUCAGGGCUCUAACCACAUCAUGCACAUAACUCAAUUGUAGCCUGUAUCACAUGGUGCUCUUAAAAUUUUAAUUCCUAAUUAUGAAUGCUGCUAAGUGGACAACUUGUUUUUAUAUUAGGCCUGUAAAUUUAUGUCUUUGUAAAGAUUAUUAUAUUUAAAGAUGUAGUAACUCAGAGAAGUAAAAUGAGUUGAAAAUUUCAGUUAAGCAACCCAUCCAGAAAUAGAAUACUAUUGCUACUCUGUCUUUGCUAUAUGGGGGUCUGUUUUUAAAAAUACACAUUUCGGGAUCUAAUAAUUGCCUUGUUAUUGUUGCUGUUGUACUAACUAGUGAGUUUGUCAGUUCUUUGGAUUUUGUAGUUUCUAUGCUGUUGUUAGGCACUUGAGUAAAUUACUGCACAGCCACAAUAAUCUUCAAUAUCUUAUAAUUAUGAAUACUGUGAAAAUAUUCAUUUAACUUGCAAAAAUAGUGAAACAUAAAACAUAUUUUGUUUUGAUUUUUUUCCUACUGUUUCUUGUAUUUUAUCCACAAUGGCAGAAGGAUUUUCACUGCUUUCCUAGAUGUUCCAAGGAAUAAUUCCAUAUUUAUUCAUGAGGAAACAAAAUGAGUUUAGCUGAACAUAAAUCUUUUCUUAGUAAAGAUGGCAUAUCCUGAUUUGAAAUAACUAUUUUGAAGACUCUUCUUUCUAGAAAAUAUAUUUUUUUAAUUUUUCAGAAAAUAUUCUAUUCUCUCACAUGAAUGUUUAACAAAUAUUUUGUACAUAUUUAUUAAGUGUAAUUUCCAGAGGCAAUAUAUAUAUAAUCAUACAUAUAAAUACUUAUAUAAUAAUGUAUUAAAUGAGUUACUUAAUGAAAUUUGUGUUUUUACAAUACUUUCUUCCUCAGUCUGUAGUAACAAAAAGUAUGAUUUUGAAAUAACAGUCACAAUAUACACACACCCCUAUGCACAUAACCAUGAGUAUAUUCUUUUCUUGAUAUUUAAAAAUAGGUAUUGAAUUUUAUUCAAAGUUGGUAAGAUAAUUGGUGACAAAUGGUAAUUUUAAAAGCCCUUUAUUUUUACUACACAUAGACUGUUUUUCUUGUCCACUAGAAGAAUCAGAAUUUAAAUGAUAUCCAUGAAAUAAAUAUUACUUGAUUGAUAAUAUUACUUGUAUCUUUUACAUUAAUUGGUCCUGAAAUGUACAAAAAAAAACAAGAUUUAUUGUAGCUAGAAAGUGCAGAUUCUAUAUGGAUAAUAUAGGCAAUUGUUUCUCUGAUAUUUAGGGUGAUAUAAAAAAUCUGCCAUACAGCCCUACUCUUUUACCUCAGCCCCACCCCUCAAGAACUAGAAGACAAAAACACUGUAGAGACACAGAGAGAGAGAGACAGGUUAGGUCACUAGAUUGAUAUGAGUUGAUUUUAGAUAAAGCAGUUUCUUAGAGAUAGUGGGAGGGAAAUUGCCCUGGAGUUGCAGGAGUAGAAAUGGGGAUAUUUGGAAUACAAUUAUUAGAAGGGGUCAGUUCUGUGGAAAUCUAGGGCAUAAAAGAGAAAAAAGAAAGGAGAAAGGAGAUGAUAAAAAGAAUAUGUGUGAUUAGGAUAAAAAGAAAUCCUAUUUGCACUCUUGCCUGAAACUGAUCUUCCCCUGAGGCUUGAGCAUAAUUAGAGGGCAAACAAGACAAUUAGGACCUGCAGAUUUAUAUUUUACAUAGAUCCCUGCUUAGCUACUUAUUCUUUUAUCUUUCCUCCAGGAAAUCCAAAUAUUCAUGUUUUAAAUCAUGUCCUAACCUGUUUUUUGAGUUGGUAUCUAUAAAAGUACUUAUUAAUUAUUUCUCCAUAAUGAUGGUGUUAGAAAAAAUAAUAUUUUAGUAGCAAUUGCAAUUUUACUGAGAGAUGAUUACAUGAAACUUAAUUAUAAGGCAACCAGAAUUGUGUUUAUUUGAUGAAAAAUAUAAUUUAUACCAGCACUAUUUAUUAAAAAUUAAUGCUGAAAGAGAUUGAGAAGUCAUUACAGAACAAAAACACAAAUGUCAAAUCUUAAAGGGAAAGUGUGACUAAAUUUUAAGAGGAUUUUAAUGUGAAAAGUGUGUCUUAAAAUCACAAAUCCAUGAAAGUCUUUUUGGAGGGAUGUGGAUCUCUAAUAGUUCUUUUUUCUAGUGGGAGUAAAGAUAGCUUAUCCUUUGAUGUUUAAGCUGUGAAUGUUAAUUGCUUUUUGGUAUUAUGGAUAAGUAAAUGCUCUGGGUGAUGACAUUUUAUAAAUGAUUUUGAACUUUAUAAUUCAACCUGGGCUUGCCCCUCUUAUCUACUAGCAUUAAGAACCAAUAUAGUAUUUAAUCAGCCUACCAGAUUGUCCAUGAUUUAGAGAUGUGAACCUGCCCUGAUGUAUCUUCUUAGGGCUCCAAGGGAUGGUUUUCAGGGGUGUACAGGAAAAUUCUGAGCCAGUUCAGAAAAAAAAAAGACCUAAAUUCUACAUCCUAAAUUUCCUGCUUUAUAAUUUAGAUAAAACCUCUUAAGGAUCUGGUUCUCUUUUUGUUAGGAGUUACAUGUUUGAAUAAUCCUUUAAGCUUCUAUUGACUUUCAAAAGUUAAAAACUGAAAUCUCUGGUUGAAGAACAUAAUUUCGAAACUAAAAUUUUGAAUUGCUUAUCAUUCAUAAGUGGGUAUCUCUCUGUAACUAUGGUUCCUCAUGGUAUGCCAAAAGAACAGUAAUUAGGUCAUAUGGUAUGGGGCUGGGGCAUAAUGAACCAAGGGGUAUAUGUGUUUGUAUAUGUCACAGGUAUGUACUUGCGUUUCCUUUCAAAGUUUUGCUUUUAUUAAAACUGACUUUUUAAGUUAAAAACACCUUACUCCCUUAAAUGUUUAUUGGGAAAUAAAAAAAAUAUGACAGGCUUUCGAGUUUUGCAUCAUUGAAAAUAGAGUAGUCCAAAGUCCAGGUUUAUUUAGGUUUUAUUGACAUUAAUUUUUCACAUCACUAGAAAUGGAAAAAAAAAUCAAACUUUCUGGUUCAACAUGAUUGAAACUGUAUAUGCAAUUUAUUUAUAUGUAUGUAAGAGUGAAGCAAGAAUGACACUUGAUAAUGAAGAUCAAUAUAAGCAGCCAUUCAAAGUCACCCAUGGAUAAAACAUUAAGGCUGAUUGUAGUUAUGUGAAGAAAAGUUGUUUAAAUUCAGAUGUAGAAAAAAUAAUUAUGAUGGCUAU
rnacentral:lncRNA from 10 species